CGGGUGAGUAAUGCGUGACCAACCUGCCCCAUGCUCCAGAAUAGCUCUUGGAAACGGGUGGUAAUGCUGGAUGCUCCAACUUGACGCAUGUCUUGUUGGGAAAGUGUUUAGUGGCAUGGGAUGGGGUCGCGUCCUAUCAGCUUGUAGGCGGGGUAAUGGCCCACCUAGGCUUCGACGGGUAGCCGGCCUGAGAGGGCGGACGGCCACAUUGGGACUGAGAUACGGCCCAGACUCCUACGGGGAGGCAGCAGCC
rnacentral:rRNA from 1 species